UUUGUAUAAUGGGUCAGCGACUUAUAUUCUGUAGCAAGGUUAACCGUAUAGGGGAGCCGCAGGGAAACCGAGUCUUAACUGGGCGUUAAGUUGCAGGUAUAGACCCGAAACCCGGUGAUCUAGCCAUGGGCAGGUUGAAGGUUGGGUAACACUAACUGGAGGACCGAACCGACUAAUGUUGAAAAAUUAGCGGAUGACUUGUGGCUGGGGGUGAAAGGCCAAUCAAACCGGGAGAUAGCUGGUUCUCCCCGAAAGCUAUUUAGGUAGCGCCUCGUGAAUUCAUCUUCGGGGGUAGAGCACUGUUUCGGCUAGGGGGUCAUCCCGACUUACCAACCGAUGCAAACUACGAAUACCGAAGAAUGUUAUCACGGGAGACACACGGCGG
rnacentral:rRNA from 1 species